rnacentral:rRNA from 1 species
GAUGAACGCUAGCGGCAGGCCUAAUACAUGCAAGUCGAGGGAGAAUGUUGGAUUCGUCUGACAUGAAACCGGCGCACGGGUGCGUAACACGUAUGCAACCUACCUUUAACUGGGGUAUAGCUCAGAGAAAUCUGAGUUAAUCCCCCAUCAGACUACGACAUGGCAUCAUGAUGUAGUUAAAGCUCCGGCGGUUAGGGAUGGGCAUGCGGUACAUUAGCUAGGUGGUGAGGUAAUGGAUCACCAAGGCUAGGAUGUAUAGGGGGUCUGAGAGGAUGAUCCCCCACACUGGUACUGGGACACGGACCAGACUCCUACGGGAGGCAGCAGUAGGGAAUAUUGGUCAAUGGACGCAAGUCUGAACCAGCCAUGCCGCGUGAAGGAUGAAGGCCCUAUGGGUCGUAAACUUCUUUUAUUAGGGAAGAAAAAACGGGAUGCGUCCUGUACUGACGGUACUUAAUGAAUAAGGAUCGGCUAACUUCGUGCCAGCCGCCGCUGUAA